CAUUUGUUCUCUAAAUAAGGACUUGUAUGAAUGGCCACACGAGGGUUUUACUGUCUCUUACUUCCAAUCAGUGAAAUUGACUUUCCCGUGAAGAGGCGGGAAUAGACAAAUAAGACGAGAAGACCCUAUGGAGCUUUAACUAAUUAGUUCAAGGAAAAAAACUUAACCACUAAGGGAUAACAUUGAUCCCUAUGAACUAACAGUUUCGGUUGGGGUGACCUCGGAGAACAAAAAAUCCUCCGAGCGAUUAUAAAGACGAGACACACAAGUCAAAUCGAACUAUCGCUCAUUGAUCCAAAAUUUGAUCAACGGAACAAGUUACCCUAGGGAUAACAGCGCA
rnacentral:rRNA from 1 species